AGCCGCGGUAAUUCCAGCUCCAAUAGCGUAUAUUAGUGUUGUUGCGGUUAAAAAGCUCGUAGUUGAAUUUCGGGAUUGGGAUAUAUCGGUCGUGCCUUUAGGGGCAUGAAUCGGUGUGUGGCCAAUUCUCACCUUCUGGUGAAUUGGGAUGCUCUCGGGUGUUUCAAUGAACUAGGACUUUUACUUUGAAAAAAUUAGAGUGUUUAAAGCGGGCAUUUUUGCUUGAAUACGUUAGCAUGGAAUAAUAAAAUAGGACGAUGGUUCUAUUUUGUUGGUUUUAGGACCACGUAAUGAUUAAUAGGGAUAGUUGGGGGCAUUAGUAUUCAAUUGUCAGAGGUGAAAUUCUUGGAUUUAUUGAGGACUAACUACUGCGAAAGCAUUUGCCAAGGAUGUUUUCAUUAAUCAAGAACGAAAGUUAGGGGAUCAAAGACGAUUUAUGUACGUCGUAGUCUUAACCAUAAACUAUGCCGACUAGGAAUCAGACAAAGUUAAUUUUUUAACGACUUGUUUGGUACCUUAUG
rnacentral:misc_RNA from 1 species